rnacentral:rRNA from 1 species
GACGCCCCUAAUCCAGCCCACAUCCCCUGUCUCAAAUUUAUUUCCCCCCCAAAAAAAAUAAAUCAUUCUUGAUCUAAAGUAAAUGCGAUUGAAAAAGAAAAACUUGGAGCCUUAUUAAUAGUACCGUAAGGGAAAGAUGAAAUAGAAAUUAAACAAAUAUUUAAGCAACAAACAGUAGAGACUUCAACUCGUACCUUUUGCAUUAUGGUUUAACUAGUCCAACCAGGCAAAAAGAUCUUUAGUCUGACUUCCCGAAACUAAGUGAGCUACUCCAAGGUAACCCUAGAGUUAACCCGUCUCUGUGGCAAAAGAGUGGGAUAACCUUCGAGUAGAGGUGACAUACCUAUCGAACUUAGUAAUAGCUGGUUACUCAAGAAACGAAUUUAAGUUCCUUCUCAAGAGUAUUUAGCAUGCUUACAUUAAGCAAAUUUAACCUCUUAAGACCUAUUCAAUUAGGGUACAGCCUCAUUGAAAAAGGAUACAACCUAUUACUCAGGUUAAUGUUUUUAUAGACCUAGCAUAAGUUGGCCUAAGAGCAGCCACCUUUAAAAUAGCGUCAAAGCUUUCUCUACCGUCUUCUCAAAUCCCGUAAUCCCUACAGAACCCGAUACUAUUAUUGAGUCCUUCUAUACUUCUAUAGAAGUGUCUAUGUUAAAACUAGUAACACAGAACUUAUUCUCCCUAUGUAAGUGUAAAUCAGACAGAAUAAAUCACUGAUAAUUAUUCAGUAAUGAAUUUACUGUAAUAACCCCACUAGAAAACCCUACAGCCCUUUACUGUUAACCUAACACAAGAACAUAAGAGAAAGAUUAAAAGAUAAGGAAGGAACUCGGCAAAUCUAAAUCCCGCCUGUUUACCAAAAACAUCGCCUUUUGCACACUAUAUAAGGUAAUGC